AUUUUCUUCUAUUCUUAAAGAAAAAACAGGCAGAUUACAGUAAACAUCUCCCAACGCUUCCCCAGAGCAGAGCGCGUCCCAUGCGCAGCAACCAGACGGCGCCCAUCCCAAGCUGCCAGGGCCUCGAUAGGCAGGGCGCGGCAGGUGCCAGGACCACAUGCAGGCUGCAGAGCACCGCCCGCACGCUCCGCACCACUCGCAGCGCCAUGUUCCCAGGGGUGCGGGGAUGGCAGCGCUACGCCUCAGCCACUCGCGCGGGGAGGCGGGGCGGGGCGGGCAGAAGUAAAUUUCUUUAUAAAUUACCCAGUCUGGGCCUGGUGUGUUGGCUCACAUGUGUAAUUCCAGAACUUUGGGAGGUCAAGGUGGGAGGAGCGCCUGGACCCAGGGGUUCAAGACGAGCCUGGGCAAUGUAGUGAGACCUGUCUCUAUAAAAAAUUUUUAAAAAUUAGCUGGGCGCGGUGGCUUACGCCUGUAAUCCCAGCACUUUGGGAGGCCGAGGUGGGCAGAUCAUGAGGUCAGGAGUUUGAGACCAGCCUGACCAACAUGGUGAAACCCCGUCUCUACUAAAAACACAAAAAUUAGCUGGGCAUGGUGGUGCACACCUGUAAUCCUAGCUAGAUCCUAGUAGAUUGAGGCAGGAAAACUGAACCCGGGAGGUGGAGGUUGCAGUGAGCUGAGAUUGUGCCACUGCACUUCAGCCUGGGCGACAGACU
rnacentral:lncRNA from 1 species